UGCCUGACGUGGACGCUAGUCUCAUAGGUUAAGCCAUGCAUGUGUAGGCGAAGCAUUUUGUGGAGCGGCGGAAGGCUCAGUAACGGGCGUCUAUUUGAUCUUCUGAGACGGACAACCUCUGUAACCGGAGGCCAAUACGUCAGAGGCACGGUUACCCUGUGUGGUGGUGUGCCGAAAGCAUUGCGCGGAAGAGUAAGGAGCCAUCCCAUCAG
rnacentral:rRNA from 1 species